rnacentral:rRNA from 1 species
ACGGAGGGUGCAAGCGUUGUUCGGAAUCACUGGGCGUAAAGGGAGCGCAGGCGGUUUGUCAAGUCAGAUGUGAAAGCCCACGGCUCAACCGUGGAAGUGCAUUUGAAACUGGCAGACUUGAGUAUCAGAGGGGAAAGUGGAAUUCCCGGUGUAGAGGUGAAAUUCGUAGAUAUCGGGAGGAAUACCGGUGGCGAAGGCGACUUUCUGGCUGAAUACUGACGCUGAGGCUCGAAAGCGUGGGGAGCAAACAGG